CGUACAGCCAUUCAGAAGAAGAGGCGCACAGUGCUGGCCUGACUGAAUAGAACAGGAGCCUGCAUGAUUAUGACUUCGUUGCAGAGUCAGGGAAGGCACGUGGAUUUUGAAGCUGCUCCCGCUGCUGAGGUUGCCGGAUCGCUGGUGCCCUUGUUCUCCAGACUCCCUCAGAGCAGGCGAGCCCUGGGCCCCGGGCCAUUCCGCAGUCACUUAGUUCACGUUCUGGAAGAGAGAUGUCAAAAGGGUAAAAUGUCACCAGUUUGUCUUCACCGAUUUGGAAUCUGUUAUGAAUUCAGGCCCAGUCAAGGAUCGCGUUUGUCGCUUCCUUAUCCAUGGAGAAAGGGUUUGGUAAGCAAAUUAAUAAAAGUCAGCC
rnacentral:lncRNA from 1 species